rnacentral:rRNA from 1 species
AUUGAACGCUGGCGGUAUGCCUUACACAUGCAAGUCGAACGGCAGCACGGGUGCCUGCACCUGGUGGCGAGUGGCGAACGGGUGAGUAAUACAUCGGAACGUACCUUAUCGUGGGGGAUAACGCAGCGAAAGCUGUGCUAAUACCGCAUACGCCCUGAGGGGGAAAGCGGGGGAUCGCAAGACCUCGCGCGACUAGAGCGGCCGAUGCCUGAUUAGCUUGUUGGUGGGGUAAAAGCCCACCAAGGCGACGAUCAGUAGCUGGUCUGAGAGGACGAUCAGCCACACUGGGACUGAGACACGGCCCAGACUCCUACGGGAGGCAGCAGUGGGGAAUUUUGGACAAUGGGGGCAACCCUGAUCCAGCAAUGCCGCGUGAGUGAAGAAGGCCUUCGGGUUGUAAAGCUCUUUUGUCAGGGAAGAAACACCGGCUCUAACACAGUCCGGGAAUGACGGUACCUGAAGAAUAAGCACCGGCUAACUACGUGCCAGCAGCCGCCGUAA